GCUUAGUUAAAAAGUAAGGGUUGGUUCAACGGGAUGACAGGCCACUAGGCCUGCCGAAAGCCGAGGCAUCGCCCUCCCAAAGUGAUAGCGAGAGAACCGGACAUCAUACGGAGUGCACAGCUCCAGAAAUGGCAUUUCCAUUUCAUAUCAUUGUUUGACGCAGUAGAUAGAUGGUUGGUUAGAACAAGGCUGUUUGAAACCAAGGCUCCUCAUGAAUCCGGGGACCUGGUCGAGACUGCACGUCAGCUUGUCAGACAGGUACAGUGGCGGUUUUGGCCGGAGAUUGGAUACUGUGGCCCGAGCCGCCCGCCCGCGUCGGAGUACUAGUUAGUGGUUAUACGGAAAAUACGGAA
rnacentral:sRNA from 1 species